rnacentral:rRNA from 1 species
GGGUGAGUAACACGUGGAUAACCUACCUAUAAGACUGGGAUAACUUCGGGAAACCGGAGCUAAUACCGGAUGAUAUUUUGAACCGCAUGGUUCAAAAGUGAAAGACGGUCUUGCUGUCACUUAUAGAUGGAUCCGCGCUGCAUUAGCUAGUUGGUAAGGUAACGGCUUACCAAGGCAACGAUGCAUAGCCGACCUGAGAGGGUGAUCGGCCACACUGGAACUGAGACACGGUCCAG